rnacentral:rRNA from 1 species
UUCCGCGUCCCCUGUGGGCGUCUGGAACAUGUGGCGUUUAGGAGGGAUCGUGCCGGAGGUGGAGCGUGCAGCAAGUCCCCCUGACCGGGGCUGUUACCCAGAGUGGGUGCGAGGCCCAUAGCUGCUAGGUCUCCUCCGGAUGUCACCUCUUGGGAGUCGGGUUGCUUGGGAGUGCAGCCCUAAUUGGGUGGUAAACUCCACCUAAGGCUAAAUACGGCCGUGAGACCGAUAGCAAACAAGUACCGUGAGGGAAAGUUGCAAAGAACUUUGAAGAGAGAGUUCAAGAGUACGUGAAACCGCUCAGAGGCAAACGGGUGGGCCCUCGAAAUCCGAUGGCGGGGGGAUUCAGUCAGGUGGUGCGGAGGUGGCGCUGAUUGUUGAUACGGACCCGUCCAGGCCGGGUCGGCGCCCAGAGUCUCCGUCCUCCCUGACGCACUUCCUCCCGCUCGUAGGACGCCGCAACCGGUUGGGUAGAUGCGUGUGUCGGCCAUAAGGACUGGGCGCCGGAAGGUGGCCGGUGGCGGGGUUUCUGCUCCGCCGCCGGUUGUUUAUCCAGUUCGUCCGUGGCGCGGCACCCGACCGUGGUUGAGUGGUCCUGUUGGGACCCAGCUGUGCCCUCCGAUAUGGAGCGGGCGUGUCGGCAGGCGAGCUGCUGCGGUGUUUCCCCACUCGAGAAGUGGGCGACCUGCAGUGGCCGCU